rnacentral:rRNA from 1 species
UGGGGAAUUUUGCACAAUGGGCGCAAGCCUGAUGCAGCGACGCCGCGUGAGGGAUGAAGGCCUUCGGGUUGUAAACCUUUUUCGCUCAUGGUCAAGCCGCAGCUUUGGGUUGUGGUGAGGGUAGUGGGUAAAGAAGCGCCGGCUAACUACGUGCCAGCAGCCGCGGUAAUACGUAGGUGGCAAGCGUUGUCCGGAAUUAUUGGGCGUAAAGCGCGCGCAGGUGGUUUAGAAAGUCUGAUGUGAAAGCCCACGGCUCAACCGUGGAGGGUCAUUGGAAACUAAUAAACUUGAGUGCAGGAGAGAAAAGUGGAAUUCCUAGUGUAGCGGUGAAAUGCGUAGGGAUUAGGAGGAACACCGGUGGCGAAAGCGGCUUUUUGGCCUGCAACUGACACUGAGGCGCGAAAGCGUGGGGAGCAAACAGG